rnacentral:rRNA from 1 species
UCGCAUGCUCCCGGCCGCCACGGCGGCGCGGGAAUUCGAUUAGAGUUUGAUCAUGGCUCAGAUUGAACGCUGGCGGCAGGCCUAACACAUGCAAGUCGAGCGGUAGAGAGGUGCUGCACCUCUUGAGAGCGGCGGACGGGUGAGUAAUGCCUAGGAAUCUGCCUGGUAGUGGGGGAUAACGCUCGGAAACGGACGCUAAUACCGCAUACGUCCUACGGGAGAAAGCAGGGGACCUUCGGGCCUUGCGCUAUCAGAUGAGCCUAGGUCGGAUUAGCUAGUUGGUGGGGUAAUGGCUCACCAAGGCGACGAUCCGUAACUGGUCUGAGAGGAUGAUCAGUCACACUGGAACUGAGACACGGUCCAGACUCCUACGGGAGGCAGCAGUGGGGAAUAUUGCACAAUGGGCGAAAGCCUGAUCCAGCCAUGCCGCGUGUGUGAAGAAGGUCUUCGGAUUGUAAAGCACUUUAAGUUGGGAGGAAGGGCAUUAACCUAAUACGUUAGUGUUUUGACGUUACCGACAGAAUAAGCACCGGCUAACUCUGUGCCAGCAGCCGCGGUAAUACGAAUCACUAGUGAAUUCGCGGCCGCCUGCAGGUCGACCAUAUGGGAGAGCUCCCAA